rnacentral:rRNA from 1 species
AACUUUCAACAAUGGAUCUCUUGGUUCUGGCAUCGAUGANNAACGCAGCGAAAUGCGAUAAGUAGUGUGAAUUGCAGAAUUCAGUGAAUCAUCGAAUCUUUGAACGCACAUUGCGCCCCUUGGUAUUCCAUGGGGCAUGCCUGUUCGAGCGUCAU